UGAAUACGAGACGCUACGGCGUCGAAGCAGUCUAUGUCAUACUUCCAAGAAAAGCUUGCACUGUCAUAAACAAAUAAUGCCUGUACCAUAACCGACACAGGUGGGUAGGUAGAGUAUACUAAGGGGCGCGAGAUAACUCUCUCUAAGGAACUCGGCAAAAUGACUCCGUAACUUCGGGAGAAGGAGUGCCUUAUUUAUAAGGUUGCAAUAACAAGAUCCAAGCAACUGUUUAUCGAAAACACAGGUCUCCGCUAAGUCGUAAGACGAUGUAUGGGGGCUGACGCCUGCCCAGUGCCAGAAGGUUAAAGAAGUUGGUUAGCAUUAGCGAAGCUGAUAACUGAAGCCCUGGUGAACGGCGGCCGUAACUAUAACGGUCCUAAGGUAGCGAAAUUCCUUGUCGGGUAAGUUCCGACCCGCACGAAAGGCGUAAUGAUUUGGAUACUGUCUCGGAGAGGGGCUCGGUGAAAUAGACUUGUCUGUGAAGAUGCGGACUACCUGCACCUGGACAGAAAGACCCUAUGAAGCUUUACUGUAACCUGAAAUUGAAAUUGGACUUUAUUUGCGCAGUAUAGGUGGGAGGCGUUGAGAAUAUUCUUGCGGGAAUAUUGGAGCCAUCAGUGAGAUACCACUCUUGUAAUGUUAGAUUUCUAACUUUGAAUCAUUAUCUGGUCAAAGAACAGUUUCAGGCGGGCAGUUUGACUGGGGCGGUCGCCUCCUAAAUGGUAACGGAGGCGCACAAAGGUUUCCUCUGAACGGGUAGAAAUCGUAUCUAGAGUGUAAAGGCAUAAGGAAGCUUGACUGUGAGACCUACAAGUCGAGCAGGGACGAAAGUCGGUCUUAGUGAUCUGACGGUGCUGAGUGGAAAGGCCGUCACUCAACGGAUAAAAGUUACUCUAAGGAUAACAGGCUGAUCUCCCCCAAGAGUUCACAUCGACGGGGAGGUUUGGCACCUCGAUGUCGGCUCAUCGCAUCCUGGGGCGGUAGUACGUCCCAAGGGUUGGGCUGUUCGCCCAUGAAAGCGGUACGCGAGCUGGGUUCAGAACGUCGUGAGACAGUUCGGUCCAUAUCCGGUGUAGGCGUUAGAAUAUUGAGAGGAGCCUUCUUUAGUACGAGAGGACCGAGAAGGACAUACCUCUGGUGUACCAGUUAUCGUGCCAACGGUAAACGCUGGGUAGCUAUGUAUGGAGAGGAUAACCGCUGAAAGCAUCUAAGUGGGAAGCCCACCUCAAGAUAGGUAUUCCC
rnacentral:rRNA from 1 species